CAAGAUUAGCCAGGAUAACAAAUCCAUGAGCUUUUUAUUUGGAGCAAAAGAUUAUUUGCACCUAGCGCCCUUCCCCAUACAUAUAGCAAAGAUGGGAGUGAGUUGGGACUAAGCAGCCCAAAUUAUCAUUCUCCUAAUUAUACCCCAUUCCCUGACCUACCCCCUACGCCAGACAUCAGAUAAGACCCACAUUUUUUUUAAAGAAGUGAGUAAAAAAUAUCCCAUGCUUGAUUUGUGUUCUCUAUUAUGUUUAGGUCCUUCCAGACAAACUCUAGGAACAAGAACUUCCUGUGUUGACCAAGGACAAUAGUAUGGAAGAACCAAUUAAUGCAAAUGGCAUUGAGACAAAAUGAUAGAAAUCAUGCAUUCACUGGGCUCAACAUUCUAAGCAUCCCAGCUUCUGGAGAUUUGUCAGUAUUGACUAUCUGACUUUAAUACUGAACUAAAAUGAAAGAGAAGAAAGAAGAAAUUAAUUGAAAGAAAUUAUUCCAAGGAAACACAGAAAAGUGGACCACCAUGUUUGGAGGAAUGUCAUUGACAGUAAAUACAACAUGACAUAGGAAACAGGAAGUCUUAAAAUAAGCUAGGCGCAAAUUCAAACACGAGGAUGUAGGCCAAAAAACUUAAAUAAGCUAAUAAAAAAUACAAAGAAGAGGAAGUAAACCAGAAAACUUCAAGCAAGGGGAAAAUACAUACACGAGAAAGUAAACGAGCAAGCUUAAAUAAGCUAGGCACAAAUACAAACACGGAGAUGUAAACCAGAAAACUUAAACAAGCUAAGCGCAAAUACAAACACGAGCAAGUAAACCAGAAAACUUAAAUAAGCUAAGCACAAAAUACAAAAACAAGGAUGUAAACUAGAAAACUCAAAAAAGCUAUGCGCAAAUACAAACACGAAGAAGUAAACCAGAAAACUUAGAUAAGCUAGGGGCAAAUACAAACACGAGGAUGUAAACCAGAACUUAAAUAAGCUAAGCGCAAAAUACAAACACGAGGAUAUAAAACACAGAAAACUUAAAUAAGCUAUUCACAAAUACAAACACGAAGAAGUAAACGAGAAAACUUAAAUAAGCUAGGUGCAAAUACAAACAUGAGGAAGUAGACCAGAAAACUUAAAUAAGUUAGGUGCAAAUGCAAACACAAGGAAGUAAACGAGAAAACUUAAAUAAGCUAGGUGCAAAUACAAACAUGAGGAAGUAGACCAGAAAACUUAAAUAAGUUAGGUGCAAAUGCAAACACAAGGAAGUAAACGAGAAAACUUAAAUAAGCUAGGUGCAAAUACAAACAUGAGGAAGUAGACCAGAAAACUUAAAUAAGUUAGGUGCAAAUGCAAACACAAGGAAGUAAACGAGAAAACUUAAAUAAGCUAGGUGCAAAUACAAACAUGAGGAAGUAGACCAGAAAACUUAAAUAAGUUAGGUGCAAAUACAAACACAAGGAAGUAAACCAGAAAACUUAAAUAAGCUAGGCUCUGUUAUUGACUUAUGACUUAUAGUACAGGAUUUGGAGGGAAUAUUUAAUAGUCCGGAGGUAAUUUCAAACACAUUGCAUAUACAAUGGCACCAACAGAAUUAGCUUUGAUCUGAAAAUUAGUGUAGAAAGUUGCCCAAUCUCAAGUUCCUUUUCUUUUUAAUAACCAUGGUAUCGCGAUCAGCUUGCGUGCACCUAGACUAAUUCCACGGGAUACCUAUCACCUCCCACCCACAACAAGUACAGGUAACUCUGUCCAUUAAGGCUAGGACAUGAAAGAAACCACCUAAUGUUAUUUGUCUCUACUGGGGUUUAAACAUGAAAUCUCAUAGUUCUCAACCACUUCAUUAACACAGAAAAUAUUAACAAGUCUAUCAGCAGCUGUUUUCAGUUGUCAGUCACAAAAUGGCCUGGAUCUCACAUUUACACAGGAAAUAUAGCGCACAUACUCAACAAUAUAUUGCAUAACAAAACUGUAUGACUUUCCCCUAACACACGAAGCUUAGGAGAUGAAAUCAAUUCAACCAAUUGACAACCUAUUUACAUAAAAUACAGCUCAACCUUAUCAAUUCUUCUAUCAAAGAGCUAAUAGAAAUUGAGUCAACACCAAAAUUGAACAAUAUAAAUGCCGAAUUGCUAAAAAAAAAAAAUGAGCAGAGAGAGAAAAGGAUUCUAACUGGCGACAGUUUUGAGAGAUUCGUCAACGGCAGAGACAAUAGCGAAUUUACGGAGCUUGCAGAGAAUGUCGCUAAUCUUCUCCCGGCCAUCCGGGUAAAAAACGUACUCAUCGGAUUGAGUUCCGUCAUACUUGACCGGGCUGCUGGUUUUGGUCACCGGCGAUGAAACCCCACCACUGUACUCACCUUCUGAAGCAUAUGCAUCUGACGGUUUCUCUUGUCCUCUCCGGUUGAAAAGUUUCCCGGCGACUGCUCGGAAUUGUUGUAUAAUGCCCAUUACCUGUUAUCCACAAGAAAAUUUGCUGCUAUUUCGUCCCCUCUUUACCUAAUAUAUGAAAAAGACUAUUUUUCCAUAUUUAUCCGUCUGACGUUUCAAUAGAUGUUUCAGCCCGUUAUUUAUUUGACAUUAAUUUAGCCAUCGUUUGAUAGAGUGUAUUAAAAAAAAAAACAACGUAUUUGUAUCAUUUAAACUUAGAAAUAAUGCAUAAAGUCUAUCUAAACCAAUAUUAUUUUACAAAUUUCAUAUUUAAACUUUCAAAUAUUUUUAUUACCUCCUAAAUUAUAAUUUUUAAACUUCACCCCUGGAAGAAUAUUGCUUAAUGUGUCUAGUAAUAAAUUAGUUCAAAAUAAAAACCAAAAACAAAAAAUAGAUAGGGAUCAAUUGUUGACACGUGAGUUGUGUAAAAAAAAAAACCUUAUUUUUAUAAGGUAGAAUUAUUUAUUUAUUAAAAACAACUUCAUAUUCAAAAAUUGAAUUCAAAUUUUUUAAUUAAAAAUAAAAUAAUACACAUUAUUCCGCCACAACUUUUAGUGGUAAACCAAAAAAUCACUCAUUAUUCUUUUACCUAAUUAAAAAAAUUAGGGGAAAAAAUGUAGUUCAACCAUAUUGUCAUGCUACUUUACUGAAAUGUACUAAAGUAAAAUAUUCUGUCAUAAGCUCUAAUUUUAUUUUAUUUUUGGUGAGUACAAAAUUGCAAAUGCCAAUUCUUGCCAUUUGUGUUAAACUCAAGCAAAUCGAGUCAAUUUUAUUUAUUUAUUUAUUUAUUUAUUUAUUUUCAGAGUUAUCUUUUGUGACAUAUGGAGAGAAAGUGGCAAAAACUAUAUGUUUUGAAGGUAGUUUAAAAAAAAUGAGAGGAAACGAGAUUUCUUUGUUUUCUUAUAUAAUUUAAAUAGAGAAACAUAAUUUUUUAAAGAUUUUUUUACGUGGAAAGAUGAAAAUCUCUUAUAUGUAAAAAUUAAAAAAUAUUUCCACAGUUCGAUAAAUAUUUGACGAAGACUUAAAAUACUAACCAAAAAUUGCUCAAUGCAUAUUUAAGGAAUUAUUGUUAACCUGACCAUCAAAAUUGUCACAUCCAAUCCUAUACCUCAAAGUGAAAUAUAAUAUGAUCGUAGCAAUAAUAAACCUAACAAAAAGUUGAGGUUGACCCCAAGAGGAGUAUGUGUGUGUCAAGGCAUUUGAGAGUGUGAAUUUUCUAAACUAAUUUCAAACAAGGGAAUGAUCGAAUAAUUACUUUUAAAACUAGACUAUUUUAAUAAGCUACGACUCAGACACUAAUGAAUUUAUUUUCAAUUAUAAAAGAACUUGAAAUUGUAGCCUCAAUAUGACAUACCUAAUUCAUGAGCACAAGUAUCUUGCUCAAAUACAUCUUUUCCAUCUGCAAAUGUUUAAGAAGUCAUCUCCUGAUUCGUUGAUCUAUAGAUCAAGCUUAGGCAGGUUUGCAUAUAGUGUUUUAGACGGAAGGAUUAAUAAUAAAAAAUAAUUGUAUUGAUAAUUACUUCUUGGAGUUUAUCAACUUUAUCAAGCUAAUUUCCAAAAGUUCUUCACGUUGGGUUCUAGUGUUGAAAAUGAAUAGAAAAUGGAGGGAAUGUGAAAAAAUAACUUCACUUAUUGAAAGAGUCUUUCUCUCACAUUGAUAGGAUAAAGGAACUUUCAAGUGUUUAAAUAUCGAACCACUUCUUCAUGUUGUUAAUUAAGGGUCGAGAAGAAGACAAGCCUCACACUUAAGUGUGUAAGGCCUAGAGAUGUUGGGGAUAUUAUUUGCUUUGAGCUUACGCCUGCACGACUUCUUGUCUUAAGUUGAGGUAUCACACAACCCCAGCUAUAAAUGAAACUAAUAUUGUUUUUGGAAUUUGAAAUGCAUACUUUAGUUUUUAUGUGUCUGGUAGUGCAAAUUCUCAGAGUUUCAGACUCCAGAAAGCAUUAAUAAUGUCCAAACAUCAGGCAAUGUGGUUAAGCACAUCAUAAUACCAGUUUAAUACUUCUAUAUGAUCAUAUAAUACAUGUAUUACAGAGUUAUAACACAAAUCACAAGAAAAUUACAGAAGCACAACCUAUAUUGUCAAGAAAGAUGAAAGUGUAGCUUCCUCAUUGCCAUGAUUUUACUGUUUUCUACAUUCGAGAACGAAUUAAAACAUUUUUUGGUUUAGAUUUUGUAGGCGUUGAACUCUUGAUAGGCUCGUCAGAGAAUUCGAAGGAAUCUAAUCCGUUGGUACACUUAGCUGACGCCUCAUUUUGCUGCUUCAUGUUGUUCAUGUCAUCCUGAAGUUUCUCCAUCUUUGCUUGCAUCUCCUCCCUCAUAACAGUAAAAUCUUGUUUGUCAAGUCUAGGACGUGAAGGCAAUUUAUCCUUCGAUCUUUCCUUAACGAUUUUACUCCCACCUGCAGAAACAAUUGAAAUCCAAUUAGUAUAUCAAUCCAAAAGGCUAAGAUUAUAAUCUCGACUUGAGAAAAGUAUCAAGUAGAGCUAGUUCCAAGGACGAAUGGGUCAACAUAUAGCUGUUUGCAUUAUCCAAAAUCCCAAACAACUGGUCAAUACUGAAAGGACCUCAACAAAUCAACGGAGGGGUGACACCAUUUUGGUUGUAGACAGGAUUGGGUGGGACUAUAAUAACAUUAAGGAUGGAAGUGCUGAUGUGACCAGGAAUCCUGGAGGACGUUGGAAAAACAAGUAUCACAUGAAUUGUGCAUGAGCUUAACGGCAUAACCGUAAUAAGCAUUCCAAUCUUGUGACUAUCAUAUCCUAAAUCAGUCAUAACAUUAGAUUACAAAACUUUAAACAAAGUGUGAUCAAAAUUCAAAGGGAAGGGAGCCUGUGCUGGAUGGGGUAUAGAGUAAGAUGUUUCUCAAGAUUAGCCAGGAUAACAAAUCCACGAGCUUUUUAUUUGGAGCAAAAGAUUAUUUGCACCUAGCGCCCUUCCCCAUACAUAUACCAAAGAUGGGAGUGAGUUGGGACUAAGCAGCCCAAAUUAUCAUUCUCCUAAUCAUACCCCAUUCCCUGACCUACCCCUUACCCCAGACAUCAGAUAAGACCCACAUUUUUUUAAAGAAGUGAGUAAAAUAUAUCCCAUGCUCGAUUCGUGUUCUCUAUUAUGUUUAGGUCCUUCCAGACAAACUCUAGGAACAAGAACUUCUUGUGUUGACCAAGGACAAUAAGUUUGGAAGAACCAAUUACUGCAAAUGACAUUGAGAUAAAAUGAUAGAAAUCAUGCAUUCACUGGGUUCAAAAUUAUUCUAAGCAUCCCAGCUUCUGGUGGUUUGUCAGUAUUGAUUAUCCGACUUUAAUGCUGGACUAAAAUGAAAGAGAAAAAAGAAGAAAUUAAUUGAAAGAAAUUAUUCCAAGGAAACAUAGAAAAGUGGACCACCCUAUUUGGAGGAAUGUCAUUGACAGUAAAUACAACAUGACAUAAGAAACAGGAAGUCUUAAAAUAAGCUAGGCGCAAAUUCAAACACGAGGAUGUAAGCCAAAAAACUUAAAUAAGCUAAGCGAAAAUACAAAGAAGAGGAAGCAAACCAGGAAAAUACAUACACGAGAAAGUAAACGAGCAAGCUUAAAUAAGCUAGGCACAAAUACAAACACGGAGAUGUAAACCAGAAAACUUAAACAAGCUAAGCGCAAAUACAAACACGAGCAAGUAAACCAGAAAACUUAAAUAAGCUAAGCACAAAAUACAAAAACAAGGAUGUAAACCAGAAAACUUAAAUAAGCUAAGCGCAAAUAUGUAAACUAGAAAACUCAAAUAAGCUAUGCGCAAAUACAAACACGAAGAAGUAAACCAGAAAACUUAGAUAAGCUAGGGGCAAAUACAAACACGAGGAUGUAAACCAGAAAACUUAAAUAAGCUAAGCGCAAAAUACAAACACGAGGAUAUAAAAAACAGAAAACUUAAAUAAGCUAUUCACAAAUACAAACACGAAGAAGUAAACGAGAAAACUUAAAUAAGCUAGGUGCAAAUACAAACAUGAGGAAGUAGACCAGAAAACUUAAAUAAGUUAGGU
rnacentral:lncRNA from 1 species